rnacentral:SRP_RNA from 1 species
ACCAGGCGCGAUGGCGCAUGCCUGUAGACCCAGGUUCUCGGGAGGCUGAGGCUGGAGGACCACUUGAGUUCAGGAGUUCUGGGCUGCUGUGCGCUAUGCCGAUCAGGUGUCCACACUAAGUUUGGCAUCAAUAUGGUGACCUCCUGGGAGCGAGGGACCACCAGGUUGCCUAAGGAGGGGUGAACCAGCCCAGGCUGGAAACAGAGCAGGUCAAAACUCCCCUGUUGACAGUAGUGAGAUCACACCUGUGAAUAGCCACUGCACUCCAGCCUGGGCAACAUAGCGAGAUCCCAUCUCU